rnacentral:rRNA from 1 species
GGCCCCGCACAAGCAGCGGAGCGUGUGGUUUAAUUCGAUGUUACACGAAGAACCUUACCAGGGUUUGACAUGCAAGUGGUAGGAAACCGAAAGGCGACCGACCCUUCGGGGAGCUUGCACAGGUGCUGCAUGGCUGUCGUCAGCUCGUGUCGUGAGAUGUUCGGUUAAGUCCGCUAACGAGCGCAACCCUCGCUGUGUGUUAUAUGUGUCACACGGGACUGCCGGUCUUAAGCCGGAGGAAGGUGAGGAUGAUGUCAAGUCAGCAUGGCCUUUAUAUCCUGGGCUACACACACGCUACAAUGGCCAACACAAUAGGUUGCUAAGCCGCGAGGUGGAGCCAAUCCAUAAAGUUGGUCUCAGUUCAGAUUGUAGGCUGCAACCCGCCUGCAUGAAGAUGGAGUUGCUAGUAACCGCAGGUCAGCUAUACUGCGGUGAAUACGUUCCCGGGGCUU